GACGAACGCUGGCGGCGUGCUUAACACAUGCAAGUCGAACGGAAAGGCCCUGCUUUUGUGGGGUGCUCGAGUGGCGAACGGGUGAGUAACACGUGGGUAACCUGCCCUGGACUUUGGGAUAACUUCAGGAAACUGGGGCUAAUACCGGAUAUGAGCUCCUGCUGCAUGGGGGGGGGUGGAAAGUUUCGGGGGUUGGGGAUGGACUCGCGGCUUAUCAGCUUGUGGGUGGGGUAGUGGCUUACCAAGGAUUGGACGGGUGGCCGGCCUGAGAGGGGGCCCGGACACAUGGGCAGUGAGACACGGCAGAGACUCAUACGGGGGGCAGGAGUGGAGAAUAUCGCAAAAUGCGCGGGCGUCUGAUGCAGAAGCCCCGCGUGGGAGAUGACGGUCUUGGGGUUGUAACCCGCUUUGGCCUGUGGCGACGUGUGUGUGACGGUAAGGGGUAAAGACGCACGGGAACACUACG
rnacentral:rRNA from 1 species